rnacentral:lncRNA from 1 species
GAUUAUAAUAGCUUUGAAACAAUGAUAAUGAAAGUUUUUUCAUCGUUCUAAAUUUAUACUACAGUUAUGGUCGUAAAAGAUUAAGAAAAAUCUUAUGGGUGCAAUUAUUCCACUGACACCUGCGAAAAUUACCAAAAGAACUGACCAUCGCUGUUUAUUGUAUUUUUUUAAAUGUUUUAGUUAAACAAUCUAACACUUAA